AAUAUUGAGUGGAAGUUUAAAACAACAGGUCAAAUACCAAAUGAAGAUGUCAGUCCUGUCACUCUGACCCUACUUCCAGGACCUUCCCUUGUGACUUUUGCCUAGGACCGUCUGCAGAAGAGCUCCUCUUCACACAGCAGGCGGGGACCUUGCCUCCACGGAAAAGAGUCUGUGAAAAAAACAAAUGGGAAACAUGGCUGCAAGAAAACUGGGAGGACUGCAAGAAUUUGAACCUUUCAUUUCAGGAUUUGGGGGACCCUUAUCAAGUGACAAAUUUUAACAGGAUUCUUAGAAGACUAAUUCGAGUUGAAACCCUCUGGUUAGUGGAUAAUUCACUGGUGGAUUUAAGUGCCAUAAGAUUGCCAAGCUGCAGAGUUUUAAAUAUGAAUAAAAACCAUCUCACAUCUUUCAAACAAUUGCCAAAGAUACCUCAGAUACAGCAUUUAUCCUUGGCUGAGAACCGCAUUGAGACUCUCACCGGGCUCACCAGUUUACGGUGCACUCCACUAGAAUCCCUUGUGCUCAAGAGGAAUCCCUGUGAAUUUUUCCAAAAUUACAGGAAACGAUCCUCCAAUAAGAAGACAGCACAGUUCAAAAGUGAAAGGACUUAAUGAUAGAGCUAAUAGUAGUGUUCUCCUGUUUGCCAAACCUAAAAAUGCUAGAUGGGAUCCCAAAGCUUCCAGAAGAUUCUCCAUCACCAGAAACCAAUAUUUUUUCAAAAUUAUGUAUUGUAUCUUAAUGCAAUUUGUAUAGAAAGAAAGCAAUCAGUAUUGUCUCUAAAAGCUAAUAGGCAUGGGAACUGCAUGACUAAAUAUGGCUAUUUAUUAUAGAUAUUGUAUGUAUAUUUUCCUUUGAACUGCUUAUUUCCAGUUUUUAAAAAAUUCUAUAACCUAUCAGUAAAUAAAAUUUUGAGUAUACACAUAUAAUUAAUUUUUAUUUAGAAAUUAUAUACAUCAAGCACUAAAUAAACAUAUAAUGUAUAUUUGAAAACAUCGAAUAGUAGAGAUCUGUAAGUGAUGGGAUGAAAAUUGAACAUGAAUGAGGGCCCUAGGUUUCCCCCAUGCUCCAAGAAACUCAUCUGGUCCACUCCUGGGACUGUGAGCUGCUUGUUUUGUGAGUACUGUUUUAAAUAUCUGAACCCGUCAAAAGAAAAAGAAAUGAUCAGAAAUGCCUUGUGUUAUUUUAAGCCACAUACAUUGAAUUCUCCAUUUUAAAUGUUCUUUUGUUCAUUAGUGACUUUUACACAACAAAAAUUGAGGAAAGUCCUAAGCCAUAUACUAUUCAUUAAAUACAUAAUAAACAAUACUGGUAAAGCUUUUUUUGUUUAGAGAAUUUCAUAAACGUGACUUUAAAACUGCUUUCUUUAUAUGUUAAUGAGAAGGAACACAGUUCAGUUUAACUGCCUUCAAAAUUUAGAAAGGUUAACAACUAGAUCAAUUUAUUACCUUGUAUUUUUAUUUAUUUACAAAGAUCCAUCUUGUUGCAGAACUAAGGUUUUCCUAAGAUGGUUCAUAGAUUAACCAGGGAGCCUCGCAAGAAAUAAAACUAUUUUUCUGGAUCAUUCUGCCAUGAGUGAAUGCUGCUUGUAACAUUUUACAACAAAGAUUCUUAACAAGGUCAAGAUACAAUCCCUUCCCUCAAAAGUCUUAAGAAUGACUAAAGAAGACAGCAUGCAUAAUUUAACUUUAAAUUCUGUGAAGCCACUUUGAGGACUUUGUAGAGAGACUAUUAUGCAAAGUGGAUAUUGCAGGCAGCGAGCAGGCACAAAGUGAAAAGGGGCGCAAGGCCCAGAAAGCGUGUGUGUCAGAUGGGAACGGGCCUGGCUGCAGAAGUCAAAGCAGUGGAUUGACAAGGGUUUAAAAAACAGUAAUAUUAAUAAUAAUAGCUACAGCUUUCGAGCAUGUGCUAUGUAUCAGGCACAGGACAGAUGUAUACUCAUUAUUCGAAUCCUCAAAAAACUGCAAGGUCCCAAUAAUUCUCAUUUCCUAGGCAGGGAUGGCUGAGGCACGGAGAGGUCACACAAGGUAGGUAACACAAUUUCAACAUGACAAGCCAAGACUCGAAGCCUGAACACCUUUUAACACAUUUGCUGCAUCUUUCAAUAACAUAGUUCUAAUUUCAAAAUUUUUGUGUUUCCAUGGACAGCUUUCUUGUCUGUACUUCAUCACAAAUCCUAGCAAUUAAUCGCAAUCAAAUACUCACUGUUUUUUUAACAUGCCCAAAACUUUCCUUAUUCAAGUUUUUCCUUAUUUCUGCAAUACUUUCCCUUGAAAACACUCCUGAGAAUCUUUACUUUUUUCCAUGUUCACUUCAAAUAUUAUCUCCUUCAAAAAUCUGUUUUCUCUGCAGGUCCAUAGUCAUUUUUAUGACAUACUUUCUUAAUAAUGCCCCCACUUGAUUUUUUAAAAAAAAAUUUAUACUUUGCCUGGUUCCCUCUCCCCACCCCCCCAAGAAAGGCUUCAGUCAUGAGAUAAAUAAGAAAGUGGGACACACUUCAUUUUAAAUGUUGAUACAUGUAUCUUUCUGUCUUUCUAAAUCAGAGUAGAAAAAUAUUUCCUGGAAAGAACUAAAAAGUAUUUUAGUUCUUUUCAGGCCAUACAGUCUCUGUCAUAAUUACUCUUUUCUGCCUUGUAAUGCACAGAAGUUGCCAUAGAUCA